GGUGGGGUUCCCGAGCGGCCAAAGGAAGCAGACUGUAAAUCUGCCGUCAUCGACUUCGAAGGUUCGAAUCCUUCCCCCACCACCA
rnacentral:tRNA from 8 species